ACUCCUACGGGAGGCAGCAGUGAGGAAUAUUGGUCAAUGGACGCAAGUCUGAACCAGCCAUGUCGCGUGCAGGAAGACUGCCCUAUGGGGUUGUAAACUGCUUUUUAUACGGGAAGAAAUAUAGCUACGUGUAGUUAUUUGCCGGUACCGUAUGAAUAAGCAUCGGCUAACUCCGUGCCAGCAGCCGCGGUAAUACGGAGGAUGCGAGCGUUAUCCGGAUUCAUUGGGUUUAAAGGGUGCGUAGGCGGAAGUAUAAGUCAGGGGUGAAAGUUUGUGGCUCAACCAUAAAAUUGCCUUUGAUACUGUAUUUCUUGAGUACAUUUGAGGUAGGCGGAAUGUGUUGUGUAGCGGUGAAAUGCUUAGAUAUAACACAGAACACCGAUUGCGAAGGCAGCUUACUAAACUGUAACUGACGCUGAUGCACGAAAGCGUGGGAUCGAACAGGAUUAGAUACCCCUGGUAGCACAGAG
rnacentral:rRNA from 1 species